UACGGGGGGGGGCAAGCGUUGUUCGGAAUUAUUGGGCGUAAAGAGCUCGUAGGCGGCCUGUUACGUCUGCUGUGAAAUCCCGGGGCUUAACCCCGGGCGUGCAGUGGAUACGGGCAGGCUGGAGGCAGGCAGGGGAGAACGGAAUUCCCGGUGUAGCGGUGAAAUGCGCAGAUAUCGGGAGGAACACCGGUGGCGAAGGCGGUUCUCUGGGCCUGUACUGACGCUGAGGAGCGAAAGCGUGGGGAGCGAACAGG
rnacentral:rRNA from 1 species